UUUUUUUUUUUUUUUUUUUUUGAUUUUAGGGCCGCACUCAUGGCAUAUGGAGGUUCCCAGGCUAGGGGUCGAAGUAGAACUACAGCUGCUGGCCUAUGCCACAGCUAUACACGAUCUGAGCCGAGUCUGCAACAUAUACCACAGCUCACAGCAAUGCCAGAUCCUUAAUCCAUUGAGCAAAGCCAGGUAUUUAGCCCACAUCCUCAUGGGUCCUAGUUCCUUAACCGCUAAGCCAUGAAGGGAACUCCCUCUUUUUUUUUUUUUUUAAAUGAAUGCACCUGCAGCAAAUGGAAGUUCCCAGGCUAGGGAUUGAACUGGAACUGCAGUUGCUGGUUUAUGUCAUAGCCACAGGAACUCGGGAUCCAUGCCACACCUGCAACCUAUACCACAGCUCAUGGAAACACCAGAUCCUUAACACACUGAGUGGGGCCAGGGAUCAAACCCACAUCCUCAUGGAUACCAUGGGGUUUGUUAACACUGAGCCACAACAGGAACUCCCUAUGUCUUCUAUUUUUAAUCUUAUUAUAGUUUUAAGCAUUUCCCUACUACUGUGUGCCAUGCACUGCAGGGAGUGCUUUAUGUUGGAUGAUGGAUACGGAAACUGAGGUGGCACUGGCAGGUGCCAAAGCUGGGACGAGAAUCUAAGAUUUGACAUCAGAAUAGACCGCCUCUUUCACUGAGCACAAGAUCCGGCACAGGCAUUUUUGGAAUGCUUCUAGAUGGUCAGCACCGAGCUUGAAUACAGGAGAUGCUCAAGGAUAUUUCCUCUCUGAGUGAUUCUUACUGUUCAGAAAAGCUUUUGUCUUAGGACAAAAGGACUCGCCCUCAUCCAGUUGGAGAACCAAGUUCUGCCAAAGCUUUGGGAAAUCCUGCCACAUUAAACCCGGGCGUUACCAAGCAGCACAGGAAAAGCUUAUCACAGAUUUCCUGGCCAGGGUGUGACCCAUUGGUCGAAAGCCUUGAUAAUUCUGUUUUCUACACACAAGGGGCAGAAAAGUUUAUGAUUGGUCCUGAGAACCUAUUCUCGUGGGUGAUUCCUCUAACUCCCCGAAUUCCAGCUUGGGUCUUCAUAACACAGUAGAGUCCGGUAGCACCACAGGCAGCAAAGGGCAACAGAGAUUCCUGAACCAGGGAGGUUUGAACUAUGACACCUGGGCUCAAGUCUCAGCCCCAACCCGUGUUACUAUCUGCAUGACCUUCAGCAAAUCAUCAAACCGCUCUGACCAUCUGUGCUAGUAUUAGUCAAGUAGGGAGGCAUUUGUAAUUAAGUGACAUAAACUCACAUACCCCAGAGGUUUCUAAUUAGAAUCAGUGAAAAUACCGUGGGUGAAAACAUACAUGAAUAUAAACAACAACCAUGAUAACUAACGUCUUUUUUUUUUUUUUUUUUUUUUUUUUUUUUUUUUUUUUUUAGGCACAUGGAGGUUCCCAAGCUAGGGGUCGAAUCAGAGAUGCAGCUGCUGGCCUAUAUACCACAGCCACAGCAAUGCCGGAUCCUUAACCCACUGAGCGAAGUCAGGGAUUAAACCUUCAUCCUCGUGGAUACCAGUCAGAUUCGUUUCCGCUGAGCCAUGAUGGGAACUCCAUAACCAACAUGUCUUGAUCACUUCUUAUGUGCCGGGAAGCCCAAUUAAGUGGACGCUAAUAUCUCCAUCGCUUGUGAGGAGGAAGAAGGCGAGGCUUAGAGAGAGUACUGGCCGAAGUUGUAUUUGAAUCCAGGUUGGUCUAACUCAUGUAUGUUCAAUAGAGUUGAAAAUUGGUUUUUGGAGGCAAAGAACAUCUCACUUUUCAAUGUAUUCAGCACAGAUAUACAUACAGCACAUAAAGAAAUAUACUGUGUCUCUCUGGUAUUAAAAUUCCAUGGGGAAGGCAAUUAGGAAAAACACUCUCUAAAAAGUCUCCUUGGGAGGCAAUAAUGAAGAAAAAUUUGAGAAACACUUGUCUUAACUUCUCUAACAUCACGCCAUUUCCCAUAAUUAAUACAGAUUAGUACUACCAGGCCAUUAGACUCCUCCAAUGGAAGAUCAGAUACUGUUCAAACAUGGUCCCAGAGGAGGCGGUGGCCACUUCAGCUGCCACUGUGGCUCGUCUAGCUUAGAGGUCAUGUGCAAAGAAUUAAAAUACCUGCAUAUUUAAAUUCCAAAGGGUAAAUCUUCUGCCAUUCGAAAUAGAAAAUUAAUGCAUCAUGGAUGCGACCCACCCUCCACCCUCAUUUAGAUCAAUUUAUACAAACUCAAAGAGGGAAUGCUCUUUGUAACAUUUUAAAUAAAAUAUUGGAAAAAAAAUAAAAAUGAUAAUUUAGAACAUUAUCGUCAUUCUGAGUAGACCUGCCAGUGGGGACAGUGAUGCUUCCCUCUCCUUUGCUAUUGGAAAAGCUGGAGACUUAGGUGUAAACCUAAGGUCCAACCAACAUCUGUAGAUUAAAAGAAAAGGAACUGGCCCAUUCCCUGAUUAAAUGAACCAAGCUUAUGCAUGCAACAUGACCCCAGCAAAUGGAAAAGUCCAGUCACAGACAAUGGCUAAAUUAAGUGUGUCCAUUUCUUUUGUAUGUGUGUCUUUUUAGGGCUGCACCCAUGGCUUUUGGCAGUUCCCAGGCUAGGGGUUGAAUCAGAGCUGUAGCCACCAGCCUAUGCCAUAGCCACAGCAACACCAGAUCCAAGCCACAUCUGUGACCUUACACCACGGCUCAUGGCAAUGCAGGAUCCUCAACCCACCGAGUGGUGCCAGGGAUCAAACCCGUGUCCUCAAGAAUGUCAGUCAGGUUCAUUACUGCUCAGCCACAACGGGAACUCCACAUGUGUCUAUAUCUACUUGCUAUAUCCUGCUUUCCUUCUUUCCUUCUCUGGGACUUUGUGCCC
ensembl:lncRNA